rnacentral:snRNA from 1 species
AUGCUCGCUUCAGCAGCACAUAUGCUAAAAAUUGGAACAACAUAGAGCAGAUCAGCAUGGCCCGUGUGCAGACAGGUAAUAGAAAAUCACACGAGGAGCCAGAUGACCUA